GCGUACUUAGCUCAAUGGUCAGAGCAUAACUUAUGAAUGCUGAGGUUGUGGGUUCAAGUCCCACAGUGCACA
rnacentral:tRNA from 1 species